CUGCGUCACCGUACACCUUUAUUAAGGCGCGAGUGUUUGGGACUUCUAGAUUGCGUUUAAUUUAGCUUAGCAGUUUCUGCGAUCAGGAUUCUACUUUUUACAGGUUUAAAUUGAACGUCGCUGCGUGCCUCGAUCCAAACGACGCCAGAGAAAUAAGACCAUCAACACUGGAACUCAGACGAGGAUCACCGCAUGCAGUGACGUGUCGACAAGCUGACUUGAAUAUGGGGGGGCCCCCUUUGGGCCCCCCCAGAUCGACGACGACGACUUGAUGGUGAACACUGUGGCAACGAAAUGGAAACGGUGGGGAAAGUGGUGCAGCUUUGGGUGGAUGGAAGCCCAGGCUUGGUUCUCUUACGGAUGCUGAAGGCUAUGAUGCUAAAACGCCCAUGUUGUCAUUUGUAACUAUAGAUGGGCCCUAAGUCAUUAACUGGGUGUUUUUGCUUCUUGUUACUAGUGCAUUUACUGGCACUGCAUCAGUGUUAAUUUCGUUAACGAAAAAUAUGACGAAAAAUGUUCGUCAACGACCUUUUUUCCGUGACUAAGACGAGACGUUGACGAGCUAAAAAUAGAUCUGUGAUAAUAAAAACGAUGACGAAAUGUCAUUUUGUUUUCGUUGACGAGACGAGACAGGACGAAAAUGUUAUUGGUGUGCUAUUUGGACAUUCAAAAUGCACGAUAUUUUCCAAUCAGUACACUCCCGUAAGGUUCUUAUGCAACUGUUCACUCCUCCAGUAAAUAGGACGGACCUUAGCUACGACUUGGCAACGGGAGGUAUGGUCCACUCAGCUAUGAGCUAACGUUAUGCAUUGUACAUGAUUCGAAAUUCUUCCCAGCUUUUAUUCCACAUAUACUAGGGUCUAUAGCAUAUAACCGCGUUGUCUGAUUACAGUUUAAUUCAUUUUUCACAAUUUACCGGCUCUUGUUUUGAAGAAAAUCACCGCGCCAUUCGUUUCAAUGGGAAUCGCCACGGUCUAUACUCUGACUUCAACAUAAGGUGGACUUUGAAAUUCGUCCCAGCCUUUAUACCCAAGAUACUAUCGGGUUUAUAGCAUAUAACCGCGUUUUCUGAUUACAGUUUAAUGCAUUGUUCACAAUUUACCAGCUAUCGUUUUGAAGGCUGAACAGACAAGAGUAGUAAAGUGUGACGUCACGUUUCGAGAGCAACAGAUUUGGUUCUACACAAACCAAAUUAACAAGGGGAAAUCCUAUGGCACACAAACCUUUUAUAGAAAAGGAACAAUCUUUUUGCGAAUUGAUUUGUGAGUUUGCUUUACCAAUGAUGUAAGUAAUAUUGAGAAUAGAUUGUCU